UACGAAGGGGGCUAGCGUUGCUCGGAAUCACUGGGCGUAAAGCGCACGUAGGCGGACUCUUAAGUCGGUGGUGAAAUCCUGGAGCUCAACUCCAGAACUGCCUUCGAUACUGAGAGUCUCGAGUCCGGGAGAGGGGAGUGGAACUGCGAGUGUAGAGGUGAAAUUCGUAGAUAUUCGCAAGAACACCAGUGGCGAAGGCGGCUCACUGGCCCGGUACUGACGCUGAGGUGCGAAAGCGUGGGGAGCAAACAGG
rnacentral:rRNA from 1 species